AGAUCUUUAGGAUAUACUAGUCCGCAAGCCUUCAAUGUUUGAGGAGGGGGAAGGCCCUCAAGAUCUG
rnacentral:tRNA from 1 species